UACGUAGGGGGCUAGCGUUGUCCGGAAUCAUUGGGCGUAAAGCGCGUGUAGGCGGCCCGGUAAGUCCGCUGUGAAAGUCGGGGGCUCAACCCUCGGAUGCCGGUGGAUACUGUCGGGCUCGAGUACGGAAGAGGCGAGUGGAAUUCCUGGUGUAGCGGUGAAAUGCGUAGAGCUCGGGAAGAACAUCGGUGGCGAAAGCGCUCUGCUGGACUGCAACUGACACUCAGGGACGAAAGCUAGGGGAGCGAAUGGG
rnacentral:rRNA from 1 species